CGCAUGCGCACAGGCACGCGGCGGUGGUGUUCCUCGCUUUGUGCAGCAAAUCCGCCGAGCUUUGUUACGGUUAGUCCUCGAGGCAACAGAGCGCAUGCGCCAGGACACUCAUAACUAGCAUUCAAAUCUACAAAGCCUCGAGGUGCAGGCGAGCAGUCGAUUCCUGGAGCCUGCCUCGGGAACAGACUAUUGUGGCUCCCAGCGGCCCCUGCGCCCCUCGCACGCGUAAUGAGGAGUCGAAAACAACGCACGCGUAGGUCUGCAGCGACUGCACCAGUUGCUAGAGCUCUUCCCACUGCAGGAGCUCAGAACUGACAAGAACCCUGACCAAAGCAGUAACUCCUGGUUCUGCUGGUACACCUCUUGUACCUGGAGCUGGCUCUCCAUCUGGCUGAGACGUCAUCUUUAACACUUCAAAACAAGCCUAAGGAGAAAAGAUUUUGGUGAUGUGACAUGAAAACAGACAGCACAAAUAUAGACCAGGAUGACAGAAGAUGUACACGCUGGGUGUUGAAUGCCAUUUGGAAACCAAACCCCAGUUACUUGACAGUCCAGGAAAUUUCUCACAGCUGAGCCAUUGUGUUUUCUUCAGAAGUUAGAAAUAAGAUUGGCAGAGUCAUGUCCGUAUUCACCCACGCAGCAAAGUACUGGAAGAACUGCAUUAUUUCAUCCCACUCUUCAUGCAUGUUCAAAAUAGUCAAUGGGUGAAGGAAUGCUGGCUGGUUUUACGCUAAGAAAAAAGCCUCCACAAGUUCACAUUCAGUACAGUGAGUACACUUUUAUUUUUGCUAGAUGGUCUGCUGGUUUCUCCAGUCGUCUUAUGUAACACAAGGGAGCAUUUCGUUGUUUGAAUUUCUAUAACUGCCUAUUUUCUGUGUUCAGAGGAGUAGAUUCCCUUACAUAUGGGGUAUUUUUAACUGGGUAAUGUAACUCAGAGUAAUAACACAUAAAAACAAUCUUCUGUGUUGGUUGUUUGAAAGAAAGCUGUUUAUUCAUUAGAAAUGUUAGAAACAUAAUAAUCCCAUUUGGUAGUUAGU